UAAUAUUUUUAGUGUGUUUCUUGUGGUAGGUAUCAAUGGCAAUUAGGUGAGUAAAUGUGUUGUGUGUACGUCUUAUGCAUAAGAUGAUGUUAAAAUGUAUUUAUUUUUCACCAAGUCCGAGGACCUUGGUUUUUAAGUAUGAUCUCAUCAAGCAUAUCAAUGUUGGUUCCACAUAUAAAGUGUAGAAGUUUAAAGUUCGUGUCAUCAGACUUUGGAAUUAUUCUCACUUUACAACUUCCAGAAUGAAGACACCUAUUGAGAUGGUUGCCCUUGAUGAAGAGAUGUAAUAGGUUAGCUUGUCUUUAUGGGUGACUUGGUCGAGUUUAUGAAGGACGAGAAACUGUCAAAUUAUAUCACCAUAGAACUUGAUGACCUUGAGGGUGGACAGAAAUUAAGGAUUACAUUAUAGCAAUCAUUUUCUCUUGACUUUCUCAAAUAUCUGGAAGAACACCCGCAUCUUAGCUAUGUGGUUAUUCUCCAAAUGGGCAAGAUGAAAUUGUUUAAUGGGGUUAUGGUGUUUCCAACACAAAUAAAAAUUCUAAGCUCUUUAUCAAUGAGGAGUUUCCAGUUACAAAGGAAUUCUUUGCAAGGUACAGUGUAUAAAUUAAGAGUUUAAGUAGAAGAAUAUUUAUAAAGAGCUUUUGUGUAAGACCCAGAACC